UACGUAGGGUGCAAGCGUUAAUCGGAAUUACUGGGCGUAAAGCGUGCGUAGGUGGUUCGUUAAGUCUGAUGUGAAAGCCCUGGGCUCAACCUGGGAAUGGCAUUGGAAACUGGCGACCUAGAGUGCGGUAGAGGGCAGUGGAAUUCCCGGUGUAGCAGUGAAAUGCGUAGAGAUCGGGAGGAACAUCUGUGGCGAAGGCGACUGCCUGGACCAGCACUGACACUGAGGCACGAAAGCGUGGGGAGCAAACAGG
rnacentral:rRNA from 1 species